rnacentral:rRNA from 1 species
AGUGAACGCUGGCGGUAGGCCUAACACAUGCAAGUCGAACGGCAGCACAGUAAGAGCUUGCUCUUACGGGUGGCGAGUGGCGGACGGGUGAGGAAUACAUCGGAAUCUACUUUUUCGUGGGGGAUAACGUAGGGAAACUUACGCUAAUACCGCAUACGACCUACGGGUGAAAGCAGGGGAUCUUCGGACCUUGCGCGAUUGAAUGAGCCGAUGUCGGAUUAGCUAGUUGGCGGGGUAAAGGCCCACCAAGGCGACGAUCCGUAGCUGGUCUGAGAGGAUGGUCCGCCCCACUUGAACUGAGAACACGUCCAGACUCCUACGGGAGGCAGCAGUGGGGAAUAUUGGACAAUGGGCGCAAGCCUGAUCCAGCCAUACCGCGUGGGUGAAGAAGGCCUUCGGGUUGUAAAGCCCUUUUGUUGGGAAAGAAAAGCAGCAGGUUAAUACCCCGCUGUUCUGACGGUACCCAAAGAAUAAGCACCGGCUAACUUCGUG